CUACACCCCUAGCUAAAAUGUCUCUUCUCUUCAUUUUCCCCCACAAGUCUACAUUAUUACUAUGAAUGAGCAAAGGGAUGCCAAGAAGAAAAGUCAGGACAGUUCCACUGUUUAACGCUUAAGACUGCUCCUGAAAUUGUCUUGGUGAGAAGCAGCCAACAAGCUUUCUUCAACAAUACGUGGAAACUGGAGCAUGCAAAAAACACAUACUGGCAAAGGAUCAUUAAACUGCAUGUUACAUAUUCAGAUAUUUAAAUCUACCAUUGCUCCAAUGCCACAUCAGGAGUAUGAGAAGCUUACUAACUACAACAUGCAUCAUGGCUGAACAUGCACAAGAACUAGACCAUUACAGGACAAAAUAAGACAAAUAAGAAUUUGUAUUCUCAGUCUUUAAAACCUAGUGGCAUCAACCCUCUGCUCUUUUUCUCUACAAAAGAGAAACCUCUUUUCAGCACUAUUGAUUAGCACAAUUAAGCAUUUCCCCUUAUUACUAUGAACUUGUUACACCAGUACGCGCUCAUUACCUUCCAAGACAUAUGUCCAUUAAAAAGACAGGUGCAUAUAUAUGCUUGUGUGUGACAAACACCCCCUGUUAUCCUCCCCCCACACUUUUAUGAAGCUGGUUCUCCUUCAAAUAUAUACUUACUUCUUUAUACAGUAUAUUAUACUUGCAUACUAAAAUAUCACAUAAGGCAUUUCCUAUGGUUUCUUGGCUGUCCAGAUAAAGACAAUGAACUUGGUAUUUCUGAAAUGAAUAUAAUGGCCCAAGGAUACUCACCCAUGUUGGAAAUGGGUUCACAGAAAAAGGUUCAGAUUAAAGGAAGUGCAAUCUGCUAUCAUGAGAACAAUAAUGUCUUAACUGUGGUACCUAACAUUGAUCCUAACAAAUGUUUCCUCCGAGCAAAAACAGAAUGCUUUUAACAUCCAAGGCUUCCAAUGCGAGGAAGUCCUGAACAGCUUACUUGUUUGUCUAUUCUUCAAUGAGCAGUCACUCAACUACUGAACUGCAGUGAAAUACCUCAAGUCUGAAAAAGCAUUAUAUGCAGGCAAACUAGUUUCUGCUUACGCUCUCGUAAUAGAAUAGGAAAGUUUUACUACAGUUUUACCUAACAGCCAUGUACUUCCAAACUAGUGUAGCAAGAUAAUAAAAGGAAGGAAAAUCACAGACAAGGGCAAAAUAGUCAUUCAAACUCAGGAAUGCAAUGGUGCAUGAAGAAAGUUAUCAAGUGUUCCCUCAUUAAAGUUUUAUUUUGUACUGUCUUCCAUUUCAGCCAAAAAUAGCUUAUACCUCACAAAACUGGUUAUUCCAUCACCUUUUAUUAUGGGAGUCAAAUGUCCAGUAAAGAUGCUAUUAAAUGUUAUUGUAAGUCGCAUCUAAAUUGGUACGUUAGAAAAGGUACUGAACAAAUAACACUUAAAAGGGCAAAUAUUCCCAUAUGUUAGAAAAGCCACCCUUAACUAAUUAGGGCACCAAACUCUAAUUUUUACAAAAUAAACUUAAAUGGUAAUGAAUCUGGUAUUUUUAGUUCUAAACUCAAUUUCCUAAUUAACAGAGAGGAGGGAAAGGAAUU